rnacentral:tRNA from 15 species
CAAGAUAUAGCUUAAACAAAGCAUCUAGUUUACACCUAGAAGAUUUCACAUACUAUGAAUGUCUUGA